UGGAUAGACGCCGCAGCUUCUUUGGCUUCUUCAGCGCACAGAUCUUUUUACUUUAUAUCUAUGGAUAUAAAUGGAUUUUUCAGGGUUUCCUCUGAUGGAUUUUGCUUAGAUGAGGGAAACGUUGCUUGUUGUUCAGUUUGAUCGCUUGGAUAAACGCGGCUGUCAUCGCCUCCCCAGUGAGGAAACCAGAAGAGGAAGCGCGUCUGUUUCAGAACCAGCAGGAGGACGGUUCAUCAGGCGGAUCCAAACAUUUAGGAUUUAUUUAUUCACUUUUAAAGGUUACCUCCUCACUGGUCUGAUCUAAGUGCAACAAGUACCAGCAGGGCCGCAUCUAGGGCCCAGUGAGCAAGAUGGGCAACUUUACCACAAAGGAUAACCAUGGAAACACAGGUGCACCUUUGGACAGUUUCCACACUCCUCCUUCAUCUCCACAGAGCACUAUUCCUCAACUUCCACCUCGCACAUCCUCUACUUUAUCGCCAGCACCGGCUGCAACCAUCACCUCCACUGGCAGGAAAUCCCAGCCAUGCUCUCCAAGGACCCUCAUCCCCCCUCCUGACUGGAGACCUCCCCCACCAGUCAGUUCAAACAGCUCUGCAAUCAGUCCUGUAAUAAGCCCAGCCCUCAAGGAGAC